UUGUGACUGGCUGUUCCCCUGAGGACAGCCCCAAAACAAGAGCUGCUAGUGUGGGCCCUGGUGGUGGCUGCUCUGCAAUUCUCUGAUUCCUAUACCAGUCCACGCUCAGACUCAGCACAGAAGCCUAAGGCCUGGGUCCCAGCCUGUACCUAGAAUAUGAGGCAGGUGGCAAGAGUGACUAUCCUCCUGACUCUGGGCACGUUGGGCCUUGCUAAGACCUCCCAGCCCCUGUCCAUGGAUGCAUAUGAAGGACAAGAAGUGAACAUGUCCUGUAGUCACAGCAGCAUUGCUACAAAUGAGUAUAUCUUCUGGUACCGACAGUUUCCCAAUCAGGGACCACAGUUCUUUGUUCAAGGCUAUAAGACAAACAUUAUGAAUGAAGCAUCAACUCUAUUUAUCCCUGGAGACAGGAAGUCCAGUAUCCUGAGCCUGCACCGGGCUGCCCUGGAAGACACUGCAGUGUACUACUGCAUCGUGGCUGACACAGUGAGACGAAUGGGUCUGCACCUGUGCAGAAUCUCUGUGGGUAGGACUCCCAGCCUAGAAGAAGCCCUAAAGUAGU